ACGAGAACACACCCGGCUUGGACUUCUGUGGCUUUUUGAUCAUGAUGGAGAUUCCGAGGCUCAUGAAGGGUUUGGAGAAGUCGAUCACCUCCUCCCUCACGAGGGUGAUUGUUAAAGGAGCCACUGCGAUCUCAGCUUUCUGAGCAGGUGGAGAUCUUCACUGCACACAUUCACUGACAGAAGACUGCCAACUAUCACUUUCUCACAUCUACGUGCCUGACAGAGAGGAGGGGCUGGGGGAGUUGAACGGAGCCUCGUCUGAGGCAGUCACGACAAACCAGCCUCCUUGGACAAAACAUUAAGAUCCCCCUGGCACGGCUGUAGACAGACGACACAUAAGGUGUCUGAG